AAGCUCAAGGGCGUCGAUAUCCGCUUCGGUGGUUUCCCUCUACGUAAGCUGUGAUCCGCAAGGUAGCAUCCUGGAGUUUGGCCCGCUGUUAGUAAGUGCACAGAAAGCGGCGGGUU
rnacentral:ncRNA from 1 species